AGGACCUGGGGGAGAGGUAACAGCCUCUGAGGAGCCUGCUAAGUGUCCGCCUGGGUUAUCCAAGACGGCUUGUGCUUUUUCAGUGGGUCCCUGGGCGGUGACCUUUUUCUUUCUGGAAACCAGGCAGAGGAACUGGGCCCAGAUCAAAGAGUUAAAGCACCUCCCCAUGGGUGGUUAAUAAUAAUACCAACAACUUCUAUUUUGUGCUUACUACCCUGGCCGCUUACUAGCUGUGUAACGUUGGCAGAUGAUUUCGCUUCUCUGGACAAGUUUUCUUGUCCAUAAAAUGCAGGGAGCUCAGAUGUCAUAUUUGCAGCUUAUCUCCAUAGCAACUAUACAGAAUGACCAAGACAGGCCUACUGGAGAAGGAGAGACCACAUGGAGCAGAGAUGAGUCAGCUGGGGUCUUUCAAUCCCUCCAGCCCCCAGCCCCCAGCCAACCCACCAGCCAAUCAAAGGCAUAUUCUUGAGCCCAGUGAGAUCAGAAGAACCACCCAGCUGAGCCCAGCCCAACUGCCGAUCCACAGGAUCAGGAACUAAGUAAGCACUUGUUUUAAAGAUGCUAAGUUUAGGGAUAUUUUUUAUGCAGAAGUUAAUUGAUACACAUUAGCUGAUUCUCAUUCCAAUAGCAGCAACAAUAACUGAUAUUCAUUAUGUUCCAUGCACUGUUCUAAGAGUCCUUAGAACAAUCCUUUCUGGUAAGAAUUGCUAUUUUUUUGUAUUGCAGAUGGGAAAACUGAGGCUCAGAGAGGUUAACUGACUUUUCCAAUUCCACCAGCUAGAAAUGAGCAAAAACGAGUAUUCAAACCUACAUCUGUCUGACUUCUCUCCUCCAUUGGUCAAAGGACAUCUGCAGUUAACUAAUUCCCUUAAGAGAAAAGUGCUGCAGAGCAAAGGUCAAAACCACACUCACCUCUUUUCAGAAGAAAUGGAUCGGCUUCGGGUGUACCU